rnacentral:tRNA from 1 species
GGCGAGCUCAGUUGGUAGAGCAUGAGACUUUUAAUCUCAGGGUCGUGGGUUCGAGCCCCAUGUUGGGUGCCA